rnacentral:lncRNA from 1 species
CGGGAGAGGGCGGCGGGGCGCAGGGAGCGUGCGCGCGGCCGCCGGGCGCGGGGGAGGGGAAAAGGAGGGGGCGCGCGGCGGCCAGCCCGCAGAAGCCGGGAGCCGCGCAGGAGGACGGAGCACCAGCCGGAGUCGGCGCGAGCAGAUCUGAUUUGUAUCUACUGUGAUCAGCACUCACUUACGACCUUCCAGACCCAGGACCCCCGAGGAACCAGGCUCCGCACACAAGAAGGCGGUUGUAACUUCCGAUUCCUUGGUGGAGGAAAACAAAACACUCUGGUCUUGCUUCCCAUGAUGCAA